rnacentral:sRNA from 1 species
UGAAGUUCUUUUCUUAUUUCCUUCUUCUCUCUUUCUUUUAUACUGACAUCAGACACAAGUUUGAGGAGAUGACAGAGAAAUUCACAGUGACUCAAAUAGCAGUAGUGAGAACAUAAUGGAAAGAGAUGUAUGUAUGUAUGUAUUGGUUUAGCGUCCCAGAGAAGACACAGGCAAUGCCUGCACUUCAAAAGCCUCCCGAAGGGCAUGGGGACGUGCUACGUUGGAGAAAUCUCUAUAUACACAGUAAUGAUAGACACAGGAUCCAGAUAGCAACUCUUGAGAAGACUCAGUCUAUAUAGACUGUACAUCCACUUCUGGCCCGACGUAUGGCCAUUCAUGGUAG